rnacentral:snoRNA from 1 species
UUGGCCCUUAAUCAUGGCCAGCAGUUUGCUAAAGCUAUUUCAAGUUGAGGCCUAAAGAAUGUCUUUCUGUGUCCCCUGGUCAUUGCAGAGAUUUGGAAAUGUAAUGCUCGAUUCUUUAGAAAGAAAUCUCU